UUCUCCGAUCUACCCUGUUAUCUUGGCAUUUGCAAAUCAUGACUGAUAUAUCCAUGUGUACUCAACGUUAUUGUUUUUAUCAAAAAUGUUAUGAUCUUUUGCAUCUUGUAUCUUCCCGUUCUGUCAGGUUCUGAGCUACUAGGUAUUAUUACAGGUUACCUCAUAGAAUAGUUUGCUUUUAUAUGUUAGCUAGCGGUCUUAGAAUAUAUCCAUUUUCAUUUCGUGUUUAACCUGAGCAUACCUAGAUUUAAUCAUGAUUUUGGCACUUCCAGAUCAUCCUCCCUAGUAUAACUGAUAUCAAUAAUUCAUGUCAUGGUAUUAGUUGGACACAGCAGUUAUUGGUUAUCCACAUUGCUUGAAUAAACAAACAAGAUGAUCGUCGUAUCAAACUAAAGAAUUGGACUUGAUCAUCAGUGGUAGGCUUUUAACUCAUGUGAUUAUAGACCCGUAAUAUGGUAAAAUAAUCCAUUCUAUAGUGGCAGGGCCUUAGGUUCACAUGCCCCGGGGUUGUUAGGAUAUGGUACCAGAGUCUGCACUUGAUAGGAUCUGAGGUGCUAAAGAAAAUAUGAUUGUAUCCAACCCUCAUAUAAAAGUGGACAAAUGGCUUCACAAUGUAGCCCCAAGCAUAUACUAAUUCUGAAGUGCUCAGGCUUGUUACAAUUUGCAAGAGAGAAUUUGGAUACUUAUCCUGAACUUUGUUGUUUUAGCGAACUCAACAGUACAUCGAGAAGCCCAUAGUGUGCUUAGCUACUCAGUGCAGACCUUCUCGUUUCUUGAUCUUGACGGCGUCUUGAAGAGAUUCCUGGAACUGGGUGUAGGCAUGCUGGCAUCUGUCUAAGUAUUUACUAACCUUGGAAAGGAAACUUUGUUUGGGAACCUAAAAAAAGGAGAGUACAGAAUAGGCGUAUUGCCUCAUUCAAGAUACAUAAAAACAAGUUAGUGUCAUGGCUGCUAAGAUAAGCCCACAUAUGCUAAUCUUCUUCCAUAGAGAACUGCUGUAGUGUAGCGCUUUUCUCUUUCCUCCACUAAGAGAAUAGUGUGUGCCAUUCUUUCUUUCUAGAUGCCAAAAUGAAGAUGCAAAUUCUUAUAGCUCCUUCCCCUUUUACGUAUGCUUUUCCAGUCUUUCAUUCACACACAUGGAUGGAUGAUUUGUGAAUAAGUUGAUUUGUAUGGAACACGUCAGAUCGUACUUUGAAUUUCAAUUGUUCAUUAUGGUAACAACUUGUGAACAAUUUGUACAUUAUUAAGUAAUGUAAUUUCUGAAAGUCAAAAGGAUUACUGAAGUUACAUUUUAGAAUGUGUCUAGAUUCAUAGAAGAUAAGUAGGGAGAAUAUUAUGGAACAUUUCAUAUAUUCUAGGAUGCUAUAAAAUAUUCUGUGAAUUGUCUACCUAAGCGAAAUUUUUCUUGUCGUAAUUUUACUUGUAUUGUCAACUUUCGAUGACCAUGCCAAUGGUGCGAUGUGUCCUUUCUCAUGAGUUUUGUAUUUUCUAGAUGUUAGUUCUGGUACUAUUCGUCUUUUCUGGUCACUUUCCGGGCCAUUGUUUAGGAAGUAUGUAUCACGUCGAUUGAAAUAUGAACAUAAUUGUUCAAUGACAUGUCACUCUCCAGUUUGUGCCACAUCACCAUCCAGUAACAUUUUCCUUCAGUGGCACAUCUCUUUUUCUAGCAACACUUCUCUGUCAGUGAAUGUUGGUGUCUCUCGAAUCAACACCGUGUUAUUGUGCAACAACACGUGUUUAGUUAGUCUCUUAUCAGCUUCACGUCAUUGUCCAGCGUCUCAUUACUUUCCAGUUUCGAUUUACAAAUUCUAGUUGUUUUACCACCUUCAAUAUGAGGGGCUUAUUGAAUGUCAAAUUGAUUAAUGGAAUUAUAUUUUAGAAUGUAUAUUCACAAUAUAUCUACAUUCAUUGGAUAGUAAGUGAUUUUUGGAGUGUGUCCUAUAAUAUUUUAUAGAAUAUCGUGAAAUAUUCUGUAUUUAAUUCUACGUUAACUCCUAGUUACUUACCGAAUUGUAAGUGGAAAAAGACAGGAGCCACUCUUCUACAUAUUACCAAAAUAACUUCAUCAGAAAAACAUUAAUCACCAAAAUAAUUAAGAAGUUUCCUUUCUUCUCUACACAAUUUUUGCAUUAAUCAGCAACUAUUCAAUGUUAAAGAUCAGAAGAAGUUCAUAGAAUAUAGGAGGUAGGAGGUCUAACAUAUGACGAGGAAUAAAUACUGCUUUUACUAGACAUUUAAACCAAGCUUUCCUUUUAUAUUGUCUCCAUGAACAAAGUAAGAACUUUUGUGCCCUUCCAUCAGCGACGUCUUUGGCCUUGUGGCUAGUGCUGGCAAAUGGCGGGCCGGAUGGCCGAGUUGAAAACAGGUUAGACAAAAACGGAUAACACAUCCGAUCUGCACAUAUUUAUUAUGGAUAAAAAAUGGGUAGAGUAACGGAUAAUACGGAUACCCAUCUAUAAUUCCCUUAUCUGUGUAGUAUGGUAAAACAGAGACGAAUCAGCAAGCAUUGAAUAGUAAACUUUUUUUGGUAAAACAGCACAAACAAAUAAGAUUUCAUAGAUUGAUUCUUUUCUGCAAACUCAAUUUUUGGUUUUUAAUUUUUCAACCAAAUGCUACCAAAAAGGAACAACAUGAACUAAUUACUCAUUUCGUUUAAUUAAAGCAAUGAUAUGAUGUAGCAUUUUAAUAAUUUGAAACAGAUCUUUAAAUUUAGGUUCUUCCUAAUUAUUAAUCCCAGACGGCAUAUGGACUGAGAUACUUUAUUAUAUCCAAAUUCUAAUUAGUCUUCUUUUACUAUGAUCAAACAAACGUUGACUAAUUGGGGUUACGAAUUUAAUAAAAUAAAAAAUUUGUAAUCAAAUAUGAAUCUUUAUAAAUUCUUAGAAGAUAUUCGGCUUUGUGCUUGAUCAGCCUAAAUUUUACUUGGACAUUUUCAUCUUUCUUUGCGGAUUAAUGUCUUCCUGAAAAAACAUUAGAAAGGAAAUAAAGAUUGCUAGUCAGCAAUCAUUUAAUAUCAGAAAUACUUCAACAAUUUUAUCAUGAGAACAUUCCAAUUUGAAAACAAAGUACCAUAACGGAAUGUCGGAUAAUAUGGAAAUCUAGUGACAAUGGGUUUUGUGUUUUGGGAUGGGGAACAGCUUUGAUAGCUUGAAACCCAUUUUUUAUUAUCCGUUGUUUAUCCAUUUUUACUGCCGGUUAUAUGGGUUGAUCCAUAUUUGACCCGAUUUAAAUGAACCAAUUAUCCAAUUAUCGAUUUUGACCUGCUGGUUUAGUAGAUACUUUAAUAUUUUAUCCAUUUAGCCAGCACUAAUUGUGGCCACAAAGGCACACAAUUCGAUUAAUGAUCUGCAGUUCAACUGUCGAACUAUUGACCUUCAACCUAAGUUGCAUGGACCUAUGUUGCUCGAACUCUUCAGAAGUAUCAUCAUGUGUGUCGGAUCCUCCAAAAGCUAUGCAUUUUUGGACAAUCUGCACCCCGACGUGGGUGUGGGAUGGUCAAACGAUUUUUGGAUACUUUGACCAAAAUCAUGAUUUAUGAAAUCAAAACAAAAGCUAGGGUGACCCUCAAGGGUGGCUCAGUUGGUUGAGCAUGGGACUUCCGUAAUGGAGGUCUCAGGUUCGAAACCCCUGCCUACGACAAUAGGGGAUUUGCCUUCUGGAUCGAGCUCGUCGCAUGGGGCUUCCCUAGUGCGGGUUAUCUCUCCUGUGUGGUUUGCGAGCUAUUGCACAGGAGCGGGGGUUUACCCUGUGUGCGCCCGAAGGGUAGCGGCUGUGGAUUCGCUUGUCAUAAUUAAAAAAAGUUAAGGUGAAGUCAUAAUUUAGGCAUAUAAUAUUUUUUAUCGUUAAAUGAUAUUUAUAUUAAAAAGUCAGCAACCAGAAGGAUAUUUACAGGUCAACAUCACUGCUGAAUGUGCAAUGAACUCAAGAAGUCUGUCAUGGCCUAUAUAUUAUUUGCAAUAGCCGUGUUACGCCCCAAAAACAGUAAAGAGAUGCAUCUAUACUUGAUAAUAAUUACAGAGUCGAAUUUGCUCUCAAAAAUUCAUGCAUUCCUUUCCUUCCAAAUAGUCCACCAUAAUUUAGGCAUAUUUUUAUAACUCUAUUUUAAGAUAUUUGAAUUAUUUUUAGCCGAAUCUUGCCACACGUAUCCAUACCCAAGAUCCCUACUCCCGAAUCUUAAAAUUUAGAUGAUGAAGGAUCCGACCUCUAGAUCCACACCUGUAUCGGACACCUGCAUCUGAGUCCGAACAACUUAGCCUUCAACUUGCUGAAGAUUAUAAGUAAAAAUACUAAACAAAACAAAACAAAAGAUGCAUGGAAAUAUUUGGCACCUCCUUUGUUUUCUGAUCAUCACUUGUCUAACCCUGGUUAGUGCAACUGCUGGACUAUGACCUUCAACUUGCUAACAGUUAUAAAUAAAAAAUAAAACAAAA